UCCAUUUAUGUGUCCAUGUGGAAAUGGAGAACUAAUCAGGCGAGUAACAACCAAAGGGCCUAAUAAAGGUCGUGCUUAUUACGUAUGCCCUGGUACGGACAAGGCAAGUUUUUUUUGAUAAGUAAAUAAAUUUCAUUAAAGCUCAGAAAACAGCUCAGAAAACAAUACAACCUAACAACAUCCUUCCUAGGAAACUUAGAAGGUAAAACCCCCCUAAUUCUGCCUAUCACUGUCUCCCUUCCUAGCUCUCCAAAUUAGGUACAUUGCAACAAAUGAGUCAAAGACUCACUUUCAGUCCUGCACAACAUGCACAACACACAGAUAUCAGUAUCAGAAAUGCUCAUCUGUUUUGGAAUGAUAUUUGUUUAUUUUUUCCCUUUUUUUUAAUGUUAUAUCUUAUUAAAUGUUAUGUGACAGAGAAAUAGCAUCAAAAGUUGCGAGUUCUACUCGUUUGAAGACGAGCUUAGGUUAUGUCCUUGUGGUCGUGGCUUCUGUCGCAACACCUUUGUAAAGAGAGAGAAAUUUUGGAGUUGCUGUGUUAAGGUAGUUGCGAUUUCUUUGUGAAGGUCAUGUCAACCUGCGAAGCUGCUUCGAGUUCCACUCGAUCUCCUACCAAUCCCUUGGUUGUGCCUCAGACUUCUCCUCCUCCUCUCAGUACCCAAGCUUCGACUUCCACUCCGUCUACCAAUUCCUCAGCUCUGCCUCAGUCUUCUCCUCCUUCCAGCCAAGUUGCGGUGAUGAGGAAAAAUGAGCUGCUUGUAGAAGCUCUCGAAGUGGCUCAAUCUAUGUCUGCUUCCUAUCUUAAUAUAAUUAAGAAAUUUGCUGAUUUUGAAUUAAAUGCUCAUGAAUCAAAUGAUGAGUAGCUUGUAAAAUUUAGGGGGGCUGUAUAGAAAUGGUGUCUGCUUAUUUUGGGGAACAUUAGCUAGCUAUCUUAAUCAUGUUUAGGAGAACCUCUAUGAACUUUUACUAUUAUUAUUAUGAACUUCUAUUAUUAUUAUUAGUAGUAGUAGCAGCAGCAGUAUGAAGUCUAUGUAUGAACUUAUGUUAUUAGCAUGAACUUUCUGUGUAAGAAGCAAAACUUCUGAAUCUUAUUGUGAUUAUAUGUAAAGGAUUAUAUCUUUA